rnacentral:tRNA from 1 species
GGUUCCGUGGUCUAAUGGUUAUGACGUCUGCUUCACACCCAUGUGUCCGCUGAAGGUUCCCGGUUCGAUCCCGGGCGGAGCCA